GCUUUGAGAGCUAAAUACUCCCCCAGUGCCUGACCCAACUGGACAGGAAAGUCCUGCAUUCCUCCUUGACACUGCCAAAGGUGGUAGGAUUCAUUUUGAGACAGAGCCACCCAAAUUCAGACGUCUACCUGUGUCUUGGACCCGGCAGGGUCACUGCACCCAGUAUCACAGUGACUGAUGCCCAAUAAUUACAGAGGCACAAAACACAGCCAUAAGGGAUGGCUGAAUGAAACAGAUCCAGCAGUUUGGACCAGCAUGAAGAUCUGCUUCCAAAAACAGAUGUUUGUUGGUGGAUUAAGAGAAUCUAAUUUGUCAGCAAAUGCCCAUUGAUCCCUUCCUCUGGCCUCCAGAGACUAUAAAACUGGUUCUGGCAGAUAAAGCAAGAUGAACGGUUAUGCUUUUUGUGUAGUAAUAUUGUGGUAAAGUUACAGUCAGCUGUCAGCUCCUCUCUGUUCUUGUUUCUUCCAUCCUCUGCCUUCCACCAUGAGUUUGAACCAGCAUCUUUGAACACCUCACUAUAACUAGCAAACAUGCAACACGAAGCAGGAUGCUGAAGCCAAGGGUGAAGCUUUGCUGAAAACCAUGGCCUUGGCAUGCAGGAGGGCAGGCAAAGCAAGCCUGAGAGCAGAAGGGCUACAUCCAGUGCUCCGUGGUCCACUGGAAACAUGAGGUAGGAAAGCACCAAAUGGUGAUUCUUCCAUGCGUGAGCCAGAAGAACUCAGCAUACUUAAGCUGAGUGUUGCUUUGAGUAGCUGUUACUGUGCUUGACUCCAGUGAGGUGUUGAGGUGAGGAUGGGGAGUGGGCAGGUGCUCUGCCCAAGUGCUGGGUUUGAGAUCAAAGUAGCUGCACUUAGGAGCAAAUCCCA
rnacentral:lncRNA from 1 species